rnacentral:rRNA from 1 species
AGAACGAACGCUGGCGGCAGGCUUAACACAUGCAAGUCGAGCGCCCCGCAAGGGGAGCGGCAGACGGGUGAGUAACGCGUGGGAAUCUACCCAUCUCUACGGAACAACUCCGGGAAACUGGAGCUAAUACCGUAUACGUCCUUCGGGAGAAAGAUUUAUCGGAGAUGGAUGAGCCCGCGUUGGAUUAGCUAGUUGGUGGGGUAAUGGCCUACCAAGGCGACGAUCCAUAGCUGGUCUGAGAGGAUGAUCAGCCACAUUGGGACUGAGACACGGCCCAAACUCCUACGGGAGGCAGCAGUGGGGAAUAUUGGACAUGGGCGAAAGCCUGAUCCAGCCAUGCCGCGUGAGUGAUGAAGGCCUAGGGUUGUAAAGCUCUUUCGAACGGUGAAGAUAAUGACGGUAACGUAGAAGAACGCCCCGAUAACUCGUAGCCAGCAGCCGC